GACGAACGCUGGCGGCGUGCUUAACACAUGCAAGUCGAACGGAAAGGCCCUGCUUUUGUGGGGUGCUCGAGUGGCGAACGGGUGAGUAACACGUGAGUAACCUGCCCUUGACUUUGGGAUAACUUCAGGAAACUGGGGCUAAUACCGGAUAGGAGCUCCUGCUGCAUGGUGGGGGUUGGAAAGUUUCGGCGGUUGGGGAUGGACUCGCGGCUUAUCAGCUUGUUGGUGGGGUAGUGGCUUACCAAGGCUUUGACGGGUAGCCGGCCUGAGAGGGUGAACGGCCACAAUGGGACUGAGGUACGGCCCAGACUCCUACGGGAGGCAGCAGUGGGGAAUAUUGCACAAUGGGCGGAAGCCGGAUGCAGCAACGCCGCGUGCGGGAUGACGGCCUUCGGGUUGUAAACCGCUUUCGCCUGUGACGAAGCGUGUGUGACGGUAAUGGGUAAAGAAGCACCGGCUAACUACGUG
rnacentral:rRNA from 1 species